rnacentral:tRNA from 1 species
GCCCGGGUGGUGAAAUUGGCAGACACGCUACAUUCAGGGUGUAGUCUACUUUUGUAGGUGCAAGUUCAAGUCUUGUCCCGGGCA